GAUGAACGCUGGCGGCGUGCCUAACACAUGCAAGUCGAACGAAGCACUUUAUUUGAUUUCCUUCGGGACUGAUUAUUUUGUGACUGAGUGGCGGACGGGUGAGUAACGCGUGGGUAACCUGCCUUGUACAGGGGGAUAACAGUUGGAAACGGCUGCUAAUACCGCAUAAGCGCACAGCAUCGCAUGAUGCAGUGUGAAAAACUCCGGUGGUAUAAGAUGGACCCGCGUUGGAUUAGCUAGUUGGUGAGGUAACGGCCCACCAAGGCGACGAUCCAUAGCCGACCUGAGAGGGUGACCGGCCACAUUGGGACUGAGACACGGCCCAAACUCCUACGGGAGGCAGCAGUGGGGAAUAUUGCACAAUGGGCGAAAGCCUGAUGCAGUGACGCCGCGUGAGCGAAGAAGUAUUUCGGUAUGUAAAGCUCUAUCAGCAGGGAAGAUAAUGACGG
rnacentral:rRNA from 1 species